rnacentral:rRNA from 1 species
UAAGUAAGCUUUGAUCCAGAGAUUUCCGAAUGGGGAAACCCAGCAUGAGUUAUGUCAUGUUAUCGAUAUGUGAAUACAUAGCAUAUCAGAAGGCACACCCGGAGAACUGAAACAUCUUAGUACCCGGAGGAAGAAAAAGAAAAUUCGAUUCCCUUAGUAGCGGCGAGCGAAACGGGAAGAGCCCAAACCAACAAGCUUGCUUGUUGGGGUUGUAGGACACUCUAUACGGAGUUACAAAGGACGACAUUAGACGAAUCAUCUGGAAAGAUGAAUCAAAGAAGGUAAUAAUCCUGUAGUCGAAAAUGUUGUCUCUCUUGAGUGGAUCCUGAGUACGACGGAACACGUGAAAUUCCGUCGGAAUCUGGGAGGACCAUCUCCUAAGGCUAAAUACUCUCUAGUGACCGAUAGUGAACCAGUACCGUGAGGGAAAGGUGAAAAGCACCCCGGAAGGGGAGUGAAAUAGAACCUGAAACCGUGUGCUUACAAGUAGUCAGAGCCCGUUAAUGGGUGAUGGCGUGCCUUUUGUAGAAUGAACCGGCGAGUUACGAUUUGAUGCAAGGUUAAGCAGUAAAUGUGGAGCCGUAGCGAAAGCGAGUCUGAAUAGGGCGUUUAGUAUUUGGUCGUAGACCCGAAACCAGGUGAUCUACCCUUGGUCAGGUUGAAGUUCAGGUAACACUGAAUGGAGGACCGAACCGACUUACGUUGAAAAGUGAGCGGAUGAACUGAGGGUAGCGGAGAAAUUCCAAUCGAACCUGGAGAUAGCUGGUUCUCUCCGAAAUAGCUUUAGGGCUAGCCUCAAGUGAUGAUUAUUGGAGGUAGAGCACUGUUUGGACGAGGGGCCCCUCUCGGGUUACCGAAUUCAGACAAACUCCGAAUGCCAAUUAAUUUAACUUGGGAGUCAGAACAUGGGUGAUAAGGUCCGUGUUCGAAAGGGAAACAGCCCAGACCACCAGCUAAGGUCCCAAAAUAUAUGUUAAGUGGAAAAGGAUGUGGCGUUGCCCAGACAACUAGGAUGUUGGCUUAGAAGCAGCCAUCAUUUAAAGAGUGCGUAAUAGCUCACUAGUCGAGUGACACUGCGCCGAAAAUGUACCGGGGCUAAACAUAUUACCGAAGCUGUGGAUUGUCCUUUGGACAAUGGUAGGAGAGCGUUCUAAGGGCGUUGAAGCAUGAUCGUAAGGACAUGUGGAGCGCUUAGAAGUGAGAAUGCCGGUGUGAGUAGCGAAAGACGGGUGAGAAUCCCGUCCACCGAUUGACUAAGGUUUCCAGAGGAAGGCUCGUCCGCUCUGGGUUAGUCGGGUCCUAAGCUGAGGCCGACAGGCGUAGGCGAUGGAUAACAGGUUGAUAUUCCUGUACCACCUAUAAUCGUUUUA